CCCUGUGGCCUUUCACCAGGUGGUCCGUGUCUCUCCUUCCUCUAGGCCUGGCCUCUGACCCCCGCUUUUAGGUUACUUCCUAGGUCAGGCCCUACAGUCUAGACAAAGACUUCACUCCCUAGCGCAACUGGGCUUUUCUAAUAGCACCACCACCAAUAAUAAUAAUAAAAUAAUAAAUAGUAUUCAUAAUUGCCACAGACAGAACUUACUAAGUGUCAAACACUGUGCUAGGUGCUUCUGUACUUCAUCUUGUUUAACUUUUAAACCAACCCUGAAUGAUGGGUAGAACUACUCCUGCUUUAUGAAGUCUAAGGGGCCUAAGUGAUUUGUCUAAGAACCCAGCUAACAAGUGACAGGGUCUAAAUUUAAACCGGAGUCUGUAUGACUCCAAGGCCUAAGCUGCCUUCUCCUCUUCAACCACCGUUGUCUCUCAGAUUCAAGGGCCCAGUCCCCCUGGGUGUGAAGUGGGGCCCUGGCCGGCCUCUUAGAUCCCUCCGCCUUCCCCAAGGAGUGAACAAAAGCUGCAAGGUCAGGCCUGGGUCAAGGCUGUCCAGGGGCCAACCUCUAGCCCUUGUCCUCUCCUCCCCGCCUGCUGGGUUGGAACCACACCCACCAACCCAGCCCAGGCCUCAGGCCCAGAGGCCACUCAGCAGUGAGGCCAGCUUUCCGGGGUUUCCCAAGUGAGGACAAGACGAUUGGGAAGGCAGCUCCCCGGGGCUCUGAAGUGCUGGGUCAGCAGCAUCCUGGGGCCCGGUGGGGGUGUCUGGCAGAGGCAGUGGACACAGCACGAGAAGCUCUGCCUCUCACAUGUCCCGUCCUCUCCAGGUCCCAGGGCUCCGUCCUCAGGACCACAGACAGGGCGUCUCCAGCCUUCAUCAAAUGCUAGGAGGAGGAUGCUGAGGGCACAGCACCUACUACACUGCAUUAUAACUAGUUCGGGGACUGUCUCUCCCAUGAGACUGAGUGACUUUCUGUUUCCAGGGAGCAGCAUAGUGACAGCACAGAGAACACCUGACGAUGCCUGGCAAAUGAGUAAGCGCGUGGAGGGGUGGAGCCAGAUGUGCCUCUGAGAAGAACUUCACAAGAGCUGGAGGCCGCCCCUCCCUCCAUGGCCCACAUAUACCUGCAUCUCCGUGUCCCCAGCUCCUCCCCUCCCCCUGACCUCAGCUUCCCCGCUCAACAGUCCGCUGGUGCUCCUCUGAGCUGCCCCGAGGCCUGCUGGGAACUCCUCCACCUGCUUGAUGACUUGGCCUCCUGGGAUCUGAGAGAUAAAGGGCCUUUAGAGACGAUGUAUUUCAACCACUUGAAGUCCUGCCACUUGAAGCCAGCGAGGACAAAGAGAGAAUCCCGUUCGUAUUGCUCGGGCCGCUGCAUGGCACCCUCAGGAUGGACUGGACGACACUGUCAGAUGCAGCCAAGAUGUCAAGUUAGGGAAUGAAAAGCAUCCUUUGGAUCUCCUGGGGGCACUGAGCAGUUUCACUGAAGUGGUGAGGGGAGAAGAUAUUCUUCAAGAGUAAAUGGUGAGUAAGAGGAGACAGUUGGCACGGGCAAUCUUUCUAGAAGUCGCAUGAGAAAGCGUAAGGAAACAAACCUUGAAGGAAAUGUUCUGUACUAAGUGCCUUCAGAUACACUUCAUGGUGGGCCUCGGGGAAGGUCACAGAUCCCUUCCUUUACCCGCCUCCAAUUUCACGUCUAAGGAAAAGCGUACUGCUGCUCACUGGCCAAGGCCAAGGGUGUGGACUGGGCUUUUGUUUUCUAGGAGGGGAACCUGAGCAGAAUGGUCAUAAACUGUGGGGUGCUUUUUCUUGCUGGAUGGUGGGCUGUGUAUCGGGCUUUCCUGCCCUUCAUGGCUUAGCAGGAUCCGAAUCUUGAGUGAGGAUUUAGGAGCAAAGUUAGGCUGCUUGGCUACCUGCACCCAUGAAAAAGGAGUUCUUCAUGGGGUUCAACCCAACCCAUGAGAUUUGUCCUUGGAGGUUGAAGGUCAAAGCUCCAGUUCAAGAGUACCCUUUUGCUGGCCACUGUCUUUUUUUCAGGGAGGCGUGGGCCAGCUAGGUAGAGGGUUCAGGCGUUCUUGAGUCUGCUGGCCAAAUGAUAUCACCCCUUUAACCGUUAUCUUAUUUAAUUCUGACCACAACCUAAUACAGUGGUAUUAUUCUCUCCAUUUAACUGAUGAAGAAACUAAAGCAAAACAUGUUAGUAACUUGUCCAUGGUCACAGCUAAUAAAGAGGUAGUACUGGGACCGGAGCCUUCUAUGUCUGACGCUAAAGCUGAAACUCUACCAUGCCAUGAAAUAGGGCAGUAACUUGACACGGAAAGAGAACUGUAAAACUCUCAGGGAUGGGAAAGUCUUAUGUCAGGAACUGCAUGGGUGAGGUCCUUGAGGCAAUAGAAGGGGACAGUUCUGAGAGUAUAGGGGGAAAGGUUAGCCUUGGACAGGAUAAAAAAGGACUGGAGGGGAGGCUAGGUUAAGGUGAAAAAAAUCAGAAGGGGAUGAUGGAGGGCCCUGGGGGCAGCCGUCUGGAUGGCCUCUAUUUUCUCUGGGAUUUCCCCCCUCAUAUCUAGUCCUCUAGCACUGCUGUCUCUGGUACCCGUUUUGUGUGAUCUCACAGCACAGUGUUCUUCCCUCAUCAGAGUCCUUACUGCACUCCAAGUACCUGUGUCUGCAUUAGACUGGAACUUUUUGAGGAGAGGAACCACAUCUGUCUACUCCACUGUUGUGUACCUAGCCCCCGGCAAAGUGGUGGUUUCUGAGUAAACAUUCCACUAAAGAAGUAAGAAAAAAGGAAGGACAGGAAAGAGGGAGAGAAGGUAGGGCAUUGUUGAGAGGGGUGGAUUCCCAGCAGGGAGACUUCUGAGGGUACAGCCCUGUCCUGACACUGGGGAGGUAGCUUGGGGGAUGAGAUGUUAAUGUAAAGUGGGGCAGGGUUCCCAACAUACCUUGACCUUUGAU